CAGAGGGUGCGAGCGUUGUCCGGAAUCACUGGGCGUAAAGGGCGCGUAGGUGGCGGCCCAAGUCCGUGGUGAAAGCUCGUCGCUUAACGACGAGUCGGCCACGGAGACUGGGUGGCUUGAGCACUGUAGGGGCAGAUGGAAUUCCGGGUGUAGCGGUGGAAUGCGUAGAGAUCCGGAAGAACACCGGUGGCGAAGGCGGUCUGCUGGGCAGUUGCUGACACUGAGGCGCGACAGCGUGGGGAGCAAACAGGAUUAGAUACCCUGGUAGUCCACGCCGUAAACGAUGGGCACUAGAUGCUUGGGGGAGCGACCCCCUGAGUGUCGUCGCUAACGCAGUAAGUGCCCCGCCUGGGGAGUACGGCCGCAAGGCUG
rnacentral:rRNA from 1 species